rnacentral:rRNA from 1 species
UACGUAGGCAGCAAGCGUUGUUCGGAAUUACUGGGCGUAAAGAGUGUGUAGGCGGUGCUCCAAGUCUGGUGUGAAAUCUCCCGGCUUAACUGGGAGGGUGCAUUAGAAACUGGAAUGCUAGAGGAUGGGAGAGGUAAGCGGAAUUCCUGGUGUAGCGGUGAAAUGCGUAGAUAUCAGGAGGAACGCCUGUGGUGUAGACAGCUUACUGGACCAUUUCUGACGCUGAGACACGAAAGCGUGGGUAGCAAACAGG